rnacentral:rRNA from 1 species
UACGAAGGGGGCUAGCGUUGCUCGGAAUCACUGGGCGUAAAGGGUGCGUAGGCGGGUCUUUAAGUCAGGGGUGAAGUCCUGGAGCUCAACUCCAGAACUGCCUUUGAUACUGGGAGGCUCGAGUCCGGGAGAGGUGAGUGGAACUGCGAGUGUAGAGGUGAAAUUCGUAGAUAUUCGCAAGAACACCAGUGGCGAAGGCGGCUCACUGGCCCGGUACUGACGCUGAGGUGCGAAAGCGUGGGGAGCAAACAGG